AUGCACUUGUUGGACGUCUGUGUGUGUUUGCCAGAGUUUUGAGUGUGUAGGACGGUGGCCAUGGAAGUCGGAAUCCGCUAAGGAGUGUGUAACAACUCACCUGCCGAAGCAACUAGCCCCGAAAAUGGAUGGCGCUCUAGCGUCGCGCCUAUCCCCGGCCGUCGCUGGCAGAAAAGCACGAAAUGUGGGGGUGCUAAGCCGCGACG
rnacentral:rRNA from 1 species